GAUGGGUGACCUCCUGGGAAGUCCUCGUGUUGCACCCCU
rnacentral:rRNA from 1 species